CCAUGAAUCCCCUGGGGAUCUUGUUAAAAUGCAGAUUCUGACCCAGAAUGUCUGGGGUGGACCUGAGAUCCUGCAUUUCUAAUAAGCUCCCAGGGACUGUGAU
rnacentral:pre_miRNA from 1 species